ACGGGAGGCAGCAGUGGGGAAUAUUGGACAAUGGGGGAAACCCUGAUCCAGCGACGCCGCGUGAGUGAAGAAGUAUUUCGGUAUGUAAAGCUCUAUCAGCAGGGAAGAUGAUGACGGUACCUGACUAAGAAGCCCCGGCUAACUACGUGCCAGCAGCCGCGGUAAUACGUAGGGGGCAAGCGUUAUCCGGAUUUACUGGGUGUAAAGGGAGCGUAGGCGGCCAGACAAGUCAGAUGUGAAAACCCUGGGCUUAACCCGGGACCUGCAUUUGAAACUGUAGGGCUAGAGUACUGGAGAGGCAAGUGGAAUUCCUAGUGUAGCGGUGAAAUGCGUAGAUAUUAGGAGGAACACCAGUGGCGAAGGCGGCUUACUGGACUGUAACUGACGUUGAGGCUCGAAAGCGUGGGGAGCAAACAGGAUUAGAUACCCUGGUA
rnacentral:rRNA from 1 species